AAACCAUAUUCAUCACCAUCGAUUUGCCUCCCUUUCUUGAUUACCUCAACCUCCUGACAUAGCUAAGAUACCAUGGCUCGCUUCCAAGUGAUCGCCGUGGCAAUUUUUAUAACAAUCAUGCUCCUCCUGUCCACUGGGAUGUCCACCGCAAUACCGAAACCUAUACAAGGAAGGAAGCUUUUCCAGUAUGAUUUUAACAAUGGUACGUAUGGGCCGAUGAACAUCCCCGGUACACAAAGUGGAUAUCCUUAAUUAAUUAGCAGAUAUAGCUGGUUAAGAAAUAAGGUCUUCAUCAAUGGAGGUCUACUUUAUGCUUUUAUAUUACUAUGGAAAUAUUGUUUUUAUUACAAGUAGAGAAACGAAUGCAGUGGCGGACAGUUUAGCAAGGCAGGCUGUUCAUAAAAACAGGGACUCCGUGCUUGUCUUUGAUAGCCAUUUAUUUUAGGAAAGCUCUGUUUUUGGAUCUUUUCCCCUUUAUAGUUUUCUGUAACCAUCACCUUGUUGGUCUUGCUAUAACUUUCAUUCUUUAGUAAAUUUGAUGGAUGAUGAUUCCUUUUUCUGC